rnacentral:misc_RNA from 1 species
GGACUGCACAACUUUCCUGCCAAAGGUCAUGAUAAAAAGCAGGAACAUUUAACAUCCGAAAGUUAAAAAGGAACAACAACAACAACAACAACGAAAGGAUAAGUUUUCACAGUUGUGUAAAUCAGAUCACACAGUAAACAAAAAUGGCACACCAAUUGGAGAUAUACGGAAAAGAAGGGAGGAAACAAAUAUUAAAAGACCAAGCUCCCUGGAUAAAAUAGUUGAUGGAGAUAUAGUUUAAGAAUCUGGAACAGUUGCUGCUGGACGCUUCAUUGAAGCAGACUUGAUUAAAUGAUUGUAGCUGCCUUUCUCCUUGAAAAGCUGUGAAAAAUGAGGUUUGCAGUACAAUAUCCCAUCUAGGGCAGCAUAAUUCGAAGGAUUUAAAGAGCACCCACCAUGAGAACACUUGAAACACGACUUGUGAUAACUUUGGUUCUCCACUGUCACCUUCUCAAGUGGAUAAGCCGUUUUACCGCAGGUGGCACAUUUUUCCUGUGUCCCAGAAAACAUGCCGGCAGCUUUGCUUGGAGAUUUUGUCAGCAUUGGAGUUAACUUCUCAGCUGACUUCACAGGGGAUUGAAAGUUCUUAUUGAAGUUGCCAGACUCCUUGUAGAGCUGCUCAAAAUGAGGCUUGCAAUACAGAACACCUUCCAUUGAGGAGUAACUGCUCAACUUGAGAGUUCCUUUACAAUGAGUACACUUGAAACAAGAUUUGUGAUAACUAAUCCCAUCAGCUGACAAAAGCUCAACUGGGUAAACAGUUUUUUCACAAGCCUUACAUUUCUGUUGAGUCCCUGUAAACGACAUGAUUUCAACUCCUAGAUCUGAUCCUCCAACCUCUUUGACUAUUGGAAGAUCAAAAAAAAAUGGUGCUGUUGAUGGAGCGAAGCUUGUGAUGCGGCGAGCGUUAAUGGCGGAUGAAGAGAAUGUUUUUUUCUGGGAGAAUGAGCCAAAGAGAGA